AGCGGCGGACGGGUGAGUAACACGUGGGCAACCUGCCCUGCAGAUCGGGAUAACUCCGGGAAACCGGUGCUAAUACCGAAUAGUUUGUUGUGCCUCCUGGCACGGCACGGAAAGGCGGCUUUUACCUGCCACUGCAGGAUGGGCCCGCGGCGCAUUACCUAGUUGGGGGGGUAACGGCCCACCAAGGCCACAAUGCGUACCCAACCUGAAAGGGUGAUCGGCCACCCUGGAACUGAAACACGGCCCAAACUCCUACGGGAGGCAGCAGUAGGGAAUCUUCCGCAAUGGACGCAAGUCUGACGAACCAAUGCCGCGGGAGUGACAAAGGUUUUCGGAUCGUAAAACUCUGUUGUAAGGAAAAAACAAGCCCCAUUUAACUGAUGGGGCCCUGACGGUACCUUACCAAAAAGCCACGGCUAACUACGUGCCACCAGCCGCGGUAAUACGUAGGUGGCAAGCGUUGUCCGGAAUUAUUGGGCGUAAAGCGCGCGCAGGCGGUCCCUUAAGUCUGAUGUGAAAGCCCACGGCUCAACCGUGAAGGGUCAUUGAAAACUGGGGAACUUGAGUGCAAAAAAGGAAAGUGAAAUUCCAUGUGUAGCGUUGAAAUGCGUAAAGAUGUGAAGGAACACCAGUGGCGAAG
rnacentral:rRNA from 1 species